rnacentral:lncRNA from 1 species
GGAAACAGGAAGUAUCUCUCUUCCCCUCCGCUCCUGCUCCAGCGGCACAAUGUGAUCCACUGGCAAGGAGGGACGCCAAUAAGACAUCUGAUAGAUAAGUCUUAUAAAAUAUAUAGAUUUAUGAUAAUUAAGAUUGAGCUAGCAGAUGAGAAUCCUAGUCAUUGGCCAAGCAGCAUUGUACCUAAUACAAGUUUCUGUGUAUUAAUUUGGGCCUAACUCGGGCAGGUGGCUGGGUAAAGCUCACACAUGGCGGUGGGCCUCAGGCGGCUUUUGGCGGAAAGACUUAAUGUAACAUAAUUCUUUUAGUUUUAUUUAAAACAAAUACAUAGUUUAUAAAAUUUUUAUUGAAAUGCUGAGGAUAAUACCUAAGUCUUCAUGCAUGUUUUGACUAUUUAAUAAUACAGCAGUUAAUAUGACUUAGCAAAUACGAUUUAUGUUCUCCCCAAAAUUUGAACAUUCUGUAAUUUUUCCCCAAAUAUGUUUCAGAGAAAAAUUUGCAUAGAUAUAUUUGCUGGUUGGUAUGCAAAUUUUUAUUUCCACUUUGAAUUGGUCUAUGAUCUUUUCACUUUUGUCUACCAUUAGUAUUUUCCAUCUAUAUUCAAAGCCAUUGGAAUAUAACUAGAACACACCAUAAAGUCAAGAUCUGUUGCAAAUUAAAUUUCACUUAAUAUUGGUAAUAUCAGCAUAAAAAUAGGGGUGACUCAGGAAUUGGAGUUACUCCUUAACUCUUAGUGAAUAUGCUGUAUCUAUCUUUCUGGUUUAGUUUUCAAUUUUCUGAUCUACUAAUUUUAAUAAGUUUAUUCAUUUACAAGAGCUGCUGUAAGAAAUUACCAGAGCAUCGUGGAUUAAAACCAUUCCUGAGUCUGAAAGCCAGAAUCAGGAGUUGGCAGGAUUUGUUGCUUCUUGAUUUUCUGUCAGACAACCUAUUAUCUAACUUCUGGCAGCUGCAGGCCAUCUAGGGAAGCCUCCACCUCCAUCUUCAUCUGAUUUGCUCCACAUUUCUUGCUAAAAGCCACAAGAUCAUGCAACAAUAUACAGCUAUCAUAUUGUUAUGCCCAGUUUGUGGGACACCAAAAAGUCCACCACCAAAGAGACAAUUCAUCAAAUGGAAAAACAAAAGUUUCAUUUAUUGGCAAGCUACAGCCUGGAUUCUGCUGGCUCAGGAGCAAAUGGAAUACAGCUUACAGGUCUCUGGGCUAUUCAACCUGACAUUCCUGAUCAUCAAGGCAGUGUUGGACAUAGACUCUCUCAAGUGUCAAGGGCCUAAAAUUAGACCAGUCAUUGUUGGCAACUCCCACAUGUACUGCACUUUCAUUACCCCAGGACAUUUUUCAGGCAGUAUAAAUGUGGGUGUAGCAGGAGUCUCUUCCUCUCCUCGUGGAUAGGCGACCAAGGUUCCCUUCUUGUAGAUAUAAACAUUUCCAAUACUGUGAUGUCUGUCCUCUUCUCUUGGAUGGAGGCAAGUCUGGUGCUAGGGCCUUUGCAGUCUCUGGGUGUGUUGGAUUCUGCUGGGUUCGGGUCUUGUGAGCAGUCCCCCAGCCCCAGGUGUCAUCGAGCAGGGCAGAGGAACCCAUAUUGGAA